AAUAAGUGUAGCCAUAAGUUUUCGCGUCCAACUUUUAUCGUCUAUUUUAUUUGAAAUUUUUUUAUAAUUAACAUUUUUUGUUGCUAUGAGAUGAUAAAUCAUGAAUAGUACUUUUCUCGUGACUUAUGUUUUUAAUUUUUUUUGAAAAAAAUUCAAAUAAGACGAACGGUCAAAGUUGGGCGCGGAAAAUCAUGGCUACACUUAUU
rfam:Oryza nivara chromosome 12, whole genome shotgun sequence.